GAUGAACGCUAACUACAGGCUUAACACAUGCAAGUCGAGGGGCAGCACAGUGUAGCAAUACACGGGUGGCGACCGGCGCACGGGUGCGUAACACGUAUCCAAUCUGCCCGUUACUCGGGGAUGGCCUUCUGAAAGGAAGAUUAAUACCCGAUGGCAUUCAUUGGCGGCAUCGCCUAUCAAUUAAAGAUUUAUCGGUAACGGAUGAGGAUGCGUACGAUUAGCUGGUUGGCGGGGUAACGGCCCACCAAGGCUACGAUCGUUAGGGGUUCUGAGAUGAAGCUACCCCACACUGGAGCUGAGACACAGUCCAGAAUCCUACGGGAGGCAGCAGUGAGGAGUAUUGGUCAAUGGUCGGAAGACUAAACCAGCCAAGUAGCUUGAAGGAGGACUGCCCUACGGGUUGUAAACUUCUUUUGUUUGGGAAUAAAGUGAGGCACGUGUGCCUUUUUGUAUGUACCUUACGAAUAAGCAUCGGCUAAUUCCGUGCCAGCCGCCGCAGUAAAAC
rnacentral:rRNA from 1 species